rnacentral:rRNA from 1 species
UACGUAGGGGGCAAGCGUUGUCCGGAUUUAUUGGGCGUAAAGAGCUCGUAGGCGGUCUGUCGCGUCUGCUGUGAAAACUCGGGGCUUAACCCCGGGCCUGCAGUGGGUACGGGCAGACUAGAGUGCGGUAGGGGAGACUGGAAUUCCUGGUGUAGCGGUGAAAUACGCAGAUAUCAGGAGGAACACCAAUGGCGAAGGCAGAUCUCUGGGCCGUAACUGACGCUGAGGAGCGAAAGCAUGGGGAGCGAACAGG